CCUACGGGAGGCAGCAGUGGGGAAUAUUGCACAAUGGGGGAAACCCUGAUGCAGCGACGCCGCGUGAGUGAAGAAGUAAUUCGUUACGUAAAGCUCUAUCAGAAGGGAAGAAAUACUGACCUUACGGUAAGCAGACGGUACCUGAGUAAGGAGCCCCGGCUAACUACGUGCCAGCAGCCGCGGUAAUACGUAGGGGGCAAGCGUUAUCCGGAUUUACUGGGUGGAAAGGGAGCGUAGGCGGUGCGCCAAGUCUGGAGUGAAAUGCCGCAGCUUAACUGCGGAACUGCUUUGGAAACUGGCGAACUAGAGUGCGGGAGGGGUAAGCGGAAUUCCUAGUGUAGCGGUGACAUGCGUAGAUAUUAGGAGGAACACCGGUGGCGAAGGCGGCUUACUGGACCGUAACUGACGUUGAGGCUCGAAAGCGUGGGGAGCAAACAGGAUUAGAUACCCGGGUAGUC
rnacentral:rRNA from 1 species